rnacentral:tRNA from 1 species
GAGCAGUUGGUAGCUCAAUGGUAGAGUGGAUGCUUUGUGUGUAUGAUGUCCUGGGUUCAAUCCCCAGAUUAUCCC